rnacentral:tRNA from 2 species
GCGGGCGUGGCGGAACGGUAGACGCGGCAGACUCAAACUCUGCUUCCGCAAGGAGUGUCGGUUCGAAUCCGACCGCCCGCA